AACGAACGCUGGCGGCGUGCUUAAGACAUGCAAGUCGAACGGAAAGGCCCCCUUCGGGGGGUACUCGAGUGGCGCACGGGUGAGUAACGCGUGGGUAAUCUGCCCUAGGGUCUGGGACAACUUCGGGAAACUGGAGCUAAUACCGGAUGAGACCACGAGGUCUUCGGACUUUGCGGAAAAAGGUGGCCUCUCAUAGAAGCUACCGCCUUUGGAUGAGCCUGCGUGCCAUUAGCUUGUUGGUGGGGUAACGGCCUACCAAGGCUACGAUGGCUAGCUGGUCUGAGAGGAUGAUCAGCCACACUGGAACUGAGACACGGUCCAG
rnacentral:rRNA from 1 species